rnacentral:snRNA from 2 species
AAACCUUUUCAAAAGAAAAAAUCUGUUCUCAUUAGUUUAAUAUCUGAUACAUGGGGAGCAUAUAUUAAAUAGAUUUUUGGAACAGGGAGAUGGAAUAGAGGCUUGCUCCGUCCACUCCACGCAUGGACCUGGUAUUGCAGUACCUCCAGGAAUGGUGCACCCCCU